GCCAGCAGCCCCGUCAAGGAGGCGCUGUGCCCGAAACCCCCGCGGGGUCCGAACGAGACCUGCUGGACUCCGCUUCUAGCCUCCUCAGGGGGACGCCUCUGGCCCAGCCGGCUUUGGAGUUGCAAGCCGGGCAGGUGGCUGAUCCUGCAGGUGAAUAAAUGCAUUGACACAGUGUAGGGAGGAAAGGAAUCUCGGUGUGAGUGCUGAAAUCCACAGUGGGCUGCGCAUGCACAGUGAUCUGCCCAGAAAUCAAGAAUUGAAGAAUGAGAGAUCUCUAAUUCAUCGGUGCUGCUCUAGAGGCAAGAUCAGGAUCAUCUACCUGAGCUGAGGCCAACCAGGUGGGAGACUUCAAAGAAGGCAAUUUACGGAUCAGUGAUUCCCCACAAUGAAGCCAUCUUCCCAGGCCUCUCUCUAAUGAGUCGAAAGCUUCAAUGGGACCUUUUAUUUAUAAUAAAUAUUGC